AGAUUGAACGCUGGCGGCAGGCCUAACACAUGCAAGUCGAGCGGCAGCACGGGUACUUGUACCUGGUGGCGAGCGGCGGACGGGUGAGUAAUGCCUAGGAAUCUGCCUGGUAGUGGGGGAUAACGCUCGGAAACGGACGCUAAUACCGCAUACGUCCUACGGGAGAAAGCAGGGGACCUUCGGGCCUUGCGCUAUCAGAUGAGCCUAGGUCGGAUUAGCUAGUUGGUGAGGUAAUGGCUCACCAAGGCGACGAUCCGUAACUGGUCUGAGAGGAUGAUCAGUCACACUGGAACUGAGACACGGUCCAGACUCCUACGGGAGGCAGCAGUGGGGAAUAUUGGACAAUGGGCGAAAGCCUGAUCCAGCCAUGCCGCGUGUGUGAAGUAAGGUCUUCGG
rnacentral:rRNA from 1 species